UGUACAGAAAACUAUAUCUAUUCCAGAAGACUUGAGAGCUGGAAACUCUCCAGGAAAAUGUACACUUUUUCUGUAUAGCGUGUUUAAGAGUAGGGUUUCCUUGCUGGUGCUCGGAUGGAGGUGACUCUGGGCACAGGCUUGAGGAGGGGAAACCACAGCUGCUGCUGAAGCUGCAUCAACACUAGGAAACGAGCUGGUCGGACCACGGUGCCUGGGUGCUAUUAUUUUAGCCUACGACUUGUACGCAGGCUGGGACCGAGCUUUGCCAAUUUGCGUCGCGCACUGGCAGAAGGCACACGGAGCAAACUUUCGCAGCGAAGCCGUGCGAGGGUCUCGGGCGCUGGUGCACAGAGCAGAAGUGUAAGUUCAUCUCUUCUGCGCACACCUCACUGCUGAAGACCUCUCGGGAAACAAAAACAAAACCUUGGCCCUUCCGGAUCUUUGAACAGUGAAUGAAAUAUGUGUAUUUUCCUAUAAAGUCUAUGCGUACUUCUAAAACUUCUAACAGAAGUUUCAUUUUGGAAGUUUAAGAAUCAAGAACAUGAAGGAGCAAAAAUGAAAAAAGAACCCUGCCAAAAAGGUCUCUGGGAAAGAGCGCAGUACGUGCCUCUUGCCUUUGAACAACCUGCCUGUUGAACAGCAGUGAGAGGGAAAUAUCGCUGGCAUGCAGAGAAGUAGCAGUGACAGCGUGGCAAAGAAGGAAGAG